AGAUAUCUGUGAGGCCAGCCUGGUCUCCAAAGCAAGGUCAGGACCGCCAAGGUUCUGAUACCAGAGACACAGAGAUACUAAAAAGGGGAGGGAGGGAGAGAUGGCUCAAGCGGUUAAGAGCACCAACUGCUCUUCCAGGGGUCCUGAGUUCAAUUCCUAACAACCACAUGGUGGCUCCCAACCAUCUGUAAUGGGAUCUGAUGCCCUCUUCUGGAGUGUCUGAAGAGAGUAAUAGUGGAAUACGCAUAUGCAUAAAGAGUGACCAGCACAGCAUCCUUAGGCAUGGCCUUCCGUUCUCCAUCCGCCUCUGUGUGCUAACUGCAUUCCACACCUUCAGAGUCUACCGGCUGGAUUGAAAGGAUACCGGACAUGGUGGCGCACGCCUUUACUCCCAGCACUUGGGAGGCAGAGGCUGUCAGAUCUCUGUGAGUUUGAGGCCAGCCUGGUCUACAAAGCCAGUUCCAGGACAGCCAGGGCUACACAGAGAAACCUUGACUCAAAAAACCAACCAACCGGGGCUGGUGAGAUGGCUCAGUGGGUAAGAGCACCCGACUGCUCUUCCGAAGGUCCAGAGUUCAAAUCCCAGCAACCACAUGGUGGCCCACAACCAUCUGUAAUAAGAUCUGACUCUCUCUUCUGGAAUGUCUGAAGACAGCUACAGUGUACUUACAUAUUAAAUAAAUAAAUCUUUAAAAAAAAAAAAAAAAAACCAAC
rnacentral:lncRNA from 1 species